GUCUACGGCCAUACCACCCUGAACGCGCCCGAUCUCGUCUGAUCUCAGAAGCUAAGCAGGGUCGGGCCUGGUUAGUACUUGGAUGGGAGAAGCUCUUGGAAGUAAAGGGAGAGGUGAAUA
rnacentral:rRNA from 1 species